rnacentral:rRNA from 5 species
CAUCAGACCUCUAAUCGGAAAAGACUACCCGCUGAGUUUAAGCAUAUCAAUAGC